AAGACUGCUCUCAGGAUCCUUUCUAUAGUUCUUUACUAGAGAAGUUUCUCUGUAGGAUACGCAAACCACGAGGAAGACACGGCGUCCUCUCCUGAGCGCGAAGCGGCUCUUGGUGUUGCUUUGCUGCAAUGCCACGGGCCGUUGAUGAUCUUCCUGCCCUCCUUUGGGGGACUAGAGGGAGAGGACGCAGUCUUAAGAGGC
rnacentral:snoRNA from 1 species